AUUGAACGCUGGCGGCAGGCCUAACACAUGCAAGUCGAGCGCGAAAGUUCUUCGGAAUGAGUAAAGCGGCGGACGGGUGAGUAAUACAUGGGAAUCUGCCUGUAGUGGGGGACAACGUUUCGAAAGGAACGCUAAUACCGCAUACGCCCUACGGGGGAAAGGGGGGGAUCGCAAGACCUCUCGCUAUCAGAUGAGCCCAU
rnacentral:rRNA from 1 species